rnacentral:lncRNA from 1 species
GAUCUAGCAGACUUGCUGGCACCUGAUAAGCGAAAAUUUAUCAUGGUUUUCUUAACACAGUGGGAAAAAAGGCCAAUGGCAUCAUCAAAUCCGGCUUCCUAGCUUAGCAACAUCAGUGAAAUCGCAUCACCUUUGACAACUCCAGCGAAACACAUUAUUUUAUUACACGGAUUGAGGAAUGGUGAGACAAUCAUUGAAACAGGCCUUGCAUCAAGUCACAAAAUUCAUCACUGCAGACUGUGGGAGGAGCAGGGGUCUUCCUUGCAAAAUUGUAUGGUACU